UGAACUCUAAGAACUUCAGUAUUCAGUGAUAUUGUUGGCUUUUUUCAAAUCUACCUCUACCCUUUUUUAUGAUAGAUAAUAAAAUUAUGCCUUCCCAAAUCACAUACAUACUAACUUAGGAAUUCUGUUUUUAAAUUUUCAAUUUGGCUUUAUCAAAUAUGUGUAUUAAAUUAUAGCAGAACAUGAUAUGCAGAACAGGAUGCAACCCUCUGGCGCACCUUGAAAAGUCGUAAGGUUGUAAGUCCCUGGCGUAGAUGGAAUAUGCUCGUAAACUUGACCUGCUGCAAAUCAGAGUAUGGGGGAGAAUGGGGGAUUUUAUUUUAAAUUAUGCUGGUUGAUAAGUAUGUAUGUUGUUUGGGUGUUUGGUGAUAUAU
rnacentral:lncRNA from 1 species